GCCUCGAUGGUGUAGUGGUGAUAGUAGUACGCAUACCCGGAUAGGAUGAAACGCGGGUUCGAUUCCCGUCUGAGGCC